UACGUAGGGGGCAAGCGUUGUCCGGAAUCAUUGGGCGUAAAGAGCGUGUAGGCGGCCCGGUAAGUCCGCUGUGAAAGUCCAGGGCUCAACCCUGGGAUGCCGGUGGAUGCUGUCGGGCUAGAGUACGGAAGAGGCGAGUGGAAUUCCUGGUGUAGCGGUGAAAUGCGCAGAUAUCAGGAGGAACACCAAUGGCGAAGGCAGCACUCUGGGACGUGACUGACGCUGAGACGCGAAAGCGUGGGGAGCAAACAGG
rnacentral:rRNA from 1 species